CCUUUGAGUCAUAUGAUUCAAGAAGAAAGAAGAUUACAGAGUGGAUUAUUGAUGGACAUUAAUUGUUGAUCUUUAUUGUUGAAAGUCUUUUUUCAUGUGUUUGUCUCCUACUUGUAUGUGAGUAAUUAUUUGGAUUAACUUAAUAAUUAGGGGCUGGUGUUGUAGGAGCCAUAUAUUGUUUUGUUAGAUCAGUAUUCUUGGUUUGAUUUAUUUGGUCUGGUUGCCACGGUGAUGUGUGUGGUUUGGGUCACAUGGGUGCCAGCAGAUGAUCAACAUAGGUUAUAUUAGGGGCUGAAUCACCUGCACUAGGGGAGGAGAGAGGCAGACCCUGUCGUCUUGCACUUGAACCUCUCUGGAGUCUCUGGUUUUGGACUUAUCUUGGACUUCACAAAGGCCAGGUGGGUCCGUGUGGAUGGAGGCCAGGCAGCUGUUCUCCCCAGCCCGUGGGGCUUUUAUCGAACCAUUGCCCAUGGCCAGGCAUUGGCUGGCCACCAUAGGAAUGGACCUCAGGUCAAAUUCACCACAAUGACUGACUGCCUGAGUGGAACCUCUGCAACUGGGCAAGCUUCUCGUCUUGUCUGGUUGACAUCCACAAACACAAUGACACCAAGAAGUGGAUUCUCUGAUGAAAUGGAAGUAUCUGGCAACCCCUGGUGGCCUUGUGGAUUUUGACACGUGGAGAAAGAGAGAGAGAGAGAGAGCGAGUUAGAGUG